GUGGGGAAUAUUGGACAAUGGGGGAAACCCUGAUCCAGCGACGCCGCGUGAGUGAAGAAGUAUUUCGGUAUGUAAAGCUCUAUCAGCAGGGAAGAAAAUGACGGUACCUGACUAAGAAGCCCCGGCUAACUACGUGCCAGCAGCCGCGGUAAUACGUAGGGGGCAAGCGUUAUCCGGAUUUACUGGGUGUAAAGGGAGCGUAGACGGCACUGCAAGUCUGGAGUGAAAGCCCGGGGCUCAACCCCGGGACUGCUUUGGAAACUGUGGUGCUGGAGUGCAGGAGAGGUAAGUGGAAUUCCUAGUGUAGCGGUGAAAUGCGUAGAUAUUAGGAGGAACACCAGUGGCGAAGGCGGCUUACUGGACUGUAACUGACGCUGAGGCGCGAAAGUGUGGGGAGCAAACAGGAUUAGAAACCCUAGUAGUCC
rnacentral:rRNA from 1 species